UCUGGGUGGGUAGGUACGUACUUGAAGCUACUUCCACAUCACCUUCUUGAUUAUUUUUCAAAAAUGAAAUUUAUCGUAGAAGGCAAACACUUCAUUAAAUCGAAACACCUACAUGCUUGCAUAUUUUAUAGCGAUGGAGCCGUCAGUGUCACAUCCACAUUGCAAUUUGCUCAAUUCGAAUUUUUUUUCAAUUCCAAAAUUUUUCUUAUCGCCAAAAAAAUGAUUCGGAAAGUUCGUGUUACGUUGACCUAUUUUAUGAAUCUGCUCAUCGGAUGAAUUCAUGUUCAACAAGUACUCACAAAAUGAUUAGUUCGAUUUUAGAACACUGGAGUUGAAACCGCAAAAACCAUCGAGAAAAAUUAAGAAACAAGUAAUUUUCAAACUGAUGAGUAACAAAGAAGAACUUUAAUUUCUAAUCUUCAAAUUGAAACUUUGAAAAUGUUCAGCAGUAUCGAUUAUGACUCUAUUGAAGAAAACAUAACCAGAUUUAUAUCCAUAUCUUAUUUUGAAAAUCUAACAUUCAACUCAGCAUCGAUAUUAGCUUUAAUCAUCUCAACAGGUUUUCUCAUUUUAUACUUAAUCGUCGGUGCCAAUAAAGAGAAUUUGAGCAGUUUACCGAAUAAAACCCUAUAUUCGUAUUCUAUAUCGUUAUUAAUAUCGUAUUCAUCAACCUUAAUUUUAUGGUGUUCCAAUUCAUACGACAAAUUGCAGUUCGUAUGUAUGUAUGUAACUGAAACGCAAUAUUUUUGGACAUUUAUUAUCUCAUACGAAUACUGGCGUUUUACCUACAAUUCGUUCAAGAAUCGCAAAAUCAGUACAGAAGGGCAAACGAUAAAAUAUAUAAUUUAUUGCUUCCUUGGAUGGGUCCUACCUGCGAUACCAGUAAUCGCACUUGUCUUCAUGGUGAUAAUUUUAUCAAAAUUCGAUGAAAAUACCGUUUUGAAUUUCAACGAAUCUUCUGAUGAUUUUACCAUAAUGGCUUAUCUGAUGUUUACGUUUUUCGUUGUAUUUUUGGUUCAAAUUGUAACGAUUUUAAUUUGCAUAAUUUUUGUGUUCAUUCAAGCAUGUGUAUUUAUUUACUUUGCGACGAUGCGAGUUAAUGUACAAUCGACUGUGAAAAGAAAUUACUUGAUUGUUUUUAUCAAAAUUGCGUACUUGAUGAAUGGAUUCUGAGUAAUUUUUUUUAUAACGACGUAUAUUUGUGCAACAAAUUCUGAUUCUACCAGUGAAGCUGAUGGAACCAGUUUACCAGGCGAUAUUUGGGCGUUUUCGUUCGCGUUUCAGGGCACGUUUUUAUUUUUUGCUUUUGGAUUGGCGAAAUUUAAGCUCAUAAUAGCCGGCUGGUGUGCUCGUGAUAAUCGUGCAAUUGGUGUAAAAAAUGAUGGAUGAGAAAAAAAUCUGUUACGAUAAUGAAAUAUCCCCUCAACUUUAUCUUAUUCAAUGACUUAAGUGUUCACCAAGCAAAAUGAAGCAUCGGAGCCCUGUUCUUGAAACAUCUUUAUAAUUCAUUUUUAAGUGCAGGUACCUACCUAUUAAGUGCCCAAGUAUUCACAAUUACAGGGUGGCCAGAAAUAUCGGGUACCCCAAAGAAAGUGUUUCAUUAAAAAUGUAGGUUGGCAACAUGAAA